rnacentral:rRNA from 1 species
GUCGAACGCUUCUUUUUCCACCGGAGCUUGCUCCACCGGAAAAAGAGGAGUGGCGAACGGGUGAGUAACACGUGGGUAACCUGCCCAUCAGAAGGGGAUAACACUUGGAAACAGGUGCUAAUACCGUAUAACAAUCGAAACCGCAUGGUUUUGAUUUGAAAGGCGCUUUCGGGUGUCGCUGAUGGAUGGACCCGCGGUGCAUUAGCUAGUUGGUGAGGUAACGGCUCACCAAGGCCACGAUGCAUAGCCGACCUGAGAGGGUGAUCGGCCACAUUGGGACUGAGACACGGCCCAAACUCCUACGGGAGGCAGCAGUAGGGAAUCUUCGGCAAUGGACGAAAGUCUGACCGAGCAACGCCGCGUGAGUGAAGAAGGUUUUCGGAUCGUAAAACUCUGUUGUUAGAGAAGAACAAGGAUGAGAGUAACUGUUCAUCCCUUGACGGUAUCUAACCAGAAAGCCACGGCUAACUACGUGCCAGCAGCCGCGGUAAAUACGUAGGUGGC